UUCUGCAGCGCAGCUUCGGAGACCUUGCACCCCGUAAGGGAGGCAGCACGACAGUAAAUAAAGCUCGCCGUGUGCAAGUUGGCUACUAAGCCAGCAACACAAUCGAAUUGACGGGGACCUCCUAAAGCCUGCAACACCAACCGUCCGGGAAAACUCGGGCGGGGCCCUCACGGGGUGGUAAGAGAGUGCAGGAUGAACAAUGGACGAUCCGCAGCGAAGACCCUACCGGCGAGAGCCCACGGGUAUCGUU
rnacentral:misc_RNA from 1 species